CACGUAGGGGACGAGCGUUGUCCGGAUUCAUUGGGCGUAAAGCGCGCGUAGGCGGCUCGGAAAGUCGGUCGUGAAAUGCCGGGGCUCAACCCCGGGACUGCGUCCGAUACUUCCGGGCUGGAGGGAGGUAGGGGAGAUCGGAAUUCCUGGUGUAGCGGUGAAAUGCGCAGAUAUCAGGAGGAACACCGGUGGCGAAGGCGGAUCUCUGGGCCGUACCUGACGCUGAGGCGCGAAAGCUAGGGGAGCGAACAGG
rnacentral:rRNA from 1 species